rnacentral:rRNA from 1 species
AGGACGAACGCUGGCGGCGUGCUUAACACAUGCAAGUCGAGCGGAAAGGCCCUUCGGGGUACUCGAGCGGCGAACGGGUGAGUAACACGUGAGCAACCCGCCCCUGGCUCUGGGAUAGCCUCCGGAAACGGGGAUUAAAUACCGGGCAUUCUCCUCCUUCCGCAUGGUUGGUGGUGGAAAGUUUUUCGGCCAGGGAGGGGCUCGCGGCCUAUCAGCUUGUUGGCGGGGUAACGGCCCACCAAGGCGACGACGGGUAGCCGGCCUGAGAGGGCGACCGGCCAACGACUGGGACUGAGACACGGCCCAGACUCCUACGGGAGGCAGCAGUGGGGAAUAUUGCGCAAUGGGCGAAAGCCUGACGCAGCGACGCCGCGUGGGGGAUGAAGGCCUUCGGGUUGUAAACCCCUUUCACCAGGAGCGAAUCAAGACGGUACCUGGGAAGAAGCGCCGGCUAACUACGUGCCAGCAGCCGC